rnacentral:lncRNA from 1 species
CUUGUAUGUCAAGAAACAUAGCUCCUAUGGCUAAAAUAGAACAUAAGGAGAAAAUGAUUAUUUUUUUUGGCUUUUGAAGAAAAUAGGACGAUCCAAAAAACAUUUAAAUAAAUUGAAAAGCCAAAAUAAUCAUUGAUGAGAGAUUUAACCAAAAGAAUUAAGGUGAGCGAUUCAGGCUCUUGAGAGCCUCUUGUUUCCAUUAGGGUUAUAUAUUUGUUCAUCAAAAAGACUGCUUAUCCAGAAAUGUAUUUAGCUAAUUCAAUCACUACAGCAUUAAUAAAUUGUUUUUUUGAACAAGUAUUUCGAUUUGCAUUUUGAUACAUAUACUCAAAAACCACUAGCCAUACAUAUAUAUAUAUAUAUAUAUUAUGCAUCAUAGAAUAAAAUUUUAA